UACGUAGGGUGCAAGCGUUGUCCGGAAUUAUUGGGCGUAAAGAGCUCGUAGGCGGUCUGUCGCGUCUGCUGUGAAAACUCAGGGUUUAACCCUGAGCUUGCAGUGGGUACGGGCAGACUAGAGUGCGGUAGGGGAGACUGGAAUUCCUGGUGUAGCGGUGAAAUGCGCAGAUAUCAGGAGGAACACCGGUGGCGAAGGCGGGUCUCUGGGCCGUAACUGACGCUGAGGAGCGAAAGCAUGGUGAGCGAACAGG
rnacentral:rRNA from 1 species